rnacentral:rRNA from 1 species
GAUGAACGCUGGCGGCGUGCCUAAUACAUGCAAGUCGAGCGAACGGACGAGAAGCUUGCUCCUCUGAUGUUAGCGGCGGACGGGUGAGUAACACGUGGAUAACCUACCUAUAAGACUGGGAUAACUUCGGGAAACCGUAGCUAAUACCGGAUAAUAUUUUGAACCGCAUGGUUCAAAAGUGAAAGACGGUCUUGCUGUCACUUAUAGAUGGAUCCGCGCUGCAUUAGCUAGUUGGUAAGGUAACGGCUUACCAAGGCAACGAUGCAUAGCCGACCUGAGAGGGUGAUCGGCCACACUGGAACUGAGACACGGUCCAGACUCCUACGGGAGGCAGCAGUAGGGAAUCUUCCGCAAUGGGCGAAAGCCUGACGGAGCAACGCCGCGUGAGUGAUGAAGGUCUUCGGAUCGUAAAACUCUGUUAUUAGGGAAGAACAUAUGUGUAAGUAACUGUGCACAUCUUGACGGUUCCUAAUCAGAAAGCCACGGCUAACUACGUG